rnacentral:rRNA from 1 species
AAAAGCGGAGGAAAAGAAACCAACAGGGAUUGCCCUAGUAACGGCGAGUGAAGCGGCAACAGCUCAAAUUUGAAAGCUAGCCUUCGGGUUCGCAUUGUAAUUUGUAGAGGAUGAUUUGGGGAAGCCGCCUGUCUAAGUUCCUUGGAACAGGACGUCAUAGAGGGUGAGAAUCCCGUAUGUGACAGGAAAUGGCACCCUAUGUAAAUCUCCUUCGACGAGUCGAGUUGUUUGGGAAUGCAGCUCUAAAUGGGAGGUAAAUUUCUUCUAAAGCUAAAUAUUGGCGAGAGACCGAUAGCGCACAAGUAGAGUGAUCGAAAGAUGAAAAGCACUUUGGAAAGAGAGUUAAAAAGCACGUGAAAUUGUUGAAAGGGAAGCGCUUGCAAUCAGACUUGUUUAAACUGUUCGGCCGGUCUUCUGACCGGUUUACUCAGUUUGGACAGGCCAGCAUCAGUUUCGGCGGCCGGAUAAAGGCUCUGGGAAUGUGGCCUCCACUUCGGUGGAGGUGUUAUAGCCCAGGGUGUAAUACGGCCAGCCGGGACUGAGGUCCGCGCUUCGGCUAGGAUGCUGGCGUAAUGGUUGUAAGCGACCCGUCUUGAA